UUAAGUUCAGCGGGUAUCCCUACCUGAUCCGAGGUCAACCUUUAAAAAUUUGGGGUUGGUUGGCAAGCCUCCACCCGGACCUCCAUAGCGAGAAGAAUUACUACGCUUAGAGCCGGAUGGCACCGCCACUGAUUUUAAGGCCCGCCCAGAGGCGAAAGCCCAAGACCCGGCAAGCUGGAUUGGUUUAAAUGACGCUCGAA
rnacentral:misc_RNA from 1 species